UGAAUCAAUGGACCAAUCAUUCUUCGAAA
rnacentral:sRNA from 1 species